rnacentral:rRNA from 1 species
UACAGAGGUCCCAAGCGUUGUUCGGAUUCACUGGGCGUAAAGGGUGCGUAGGCGGUCGGGUAAGUCUGAUGUGAAAGCUCUGGGCUCAACCCAGAAAUGGCAGUGGAUACUAUCUGGCUAGAGGAAUGGAGGGGGGACUGGAAUACUUGGUGUAGCAGUGAAAUGCGUAGAUAUCAAGUGGAACACCAGUGGCGAAGGCGAGUCCCUGGACAGUUCCUGACACUGAGGCACGAAAGCGAGGGGAGCAAACAGG